AUUGAACGCUGGCGGCAGGCCUAACACAUGCAAGUCGAACGGUAACAGGAAGAAGCUUGCUUCUUUGCUGACGAGUGGCGGACGGGUGAGUAAUGUCUGGGAAACUGCCUGAUGGAGGGGGAUAACUACUGGAAACGGUAGCUAAUACCGCAUAACGUCGCAAGACCAAAGAGGGGGACCUUCGGGCCUCUUGCCAUCGGAUGUGCCCAGGUGGGUUUAGCUGGUAGGUGGGGUAACGGCUCACCUAGGCGACGAUCCCUAGCUGGUCUGAGAGGAUGACCAGCCACACUGGAACUGAGACACGGUCCAGACUCCUACGGGAGGCAGCAGUGGGGAAUAUUGCGCAGUGGGCGCAAGCCUGAUGCAGCCAUGCCGCGUGUAUGAAGAAGGCCUUCGGGUUGUAAAGUACUUUCAGCGGGGAGGAAGGGAGUAAAGUUAAUACCUUGGCUCAUUGACGUUACCCGCAGAAGAAGCACCGGCUAACUCCGUG
rnacentral:rRNA from 1 species